UACGUAGGGUGCAAGCGUUAAUCGGAAUUACUGGGCGUAAAGCGUGCGCAGGCGGUGAUGUAAGACAGUUGUGAAAUCCCCGGGCUCAACCUGGGAACUGCAUCUGUGACUGCAUUGCUGGAGUGCGGCAGAGGGGGAUGGAAUUCCGGCGUGUAGCAGUGAAAUGCGUAGAUAUGCGGAGGAACACCGAUGGCGAAGGCAAUCCCCUGGGCCUGCACUGACGCUCAGUGCACGAAAGCGUGGGGAGCAAACAG
rnacentral:rRNA from 1 species